rnacentral:lncRNA from 1 species
GACAGAUUUCCAGCUUCUACGACGCUCUGCCUAAAUUAAAAAGCAACCAAUCGGAACGGCCGGAAGGGGGGCCGCGCGCCCUGAGCCAGUCAUUCCGGGCCUGCCAAUCACCCAGCGGGUAGCCAAUCAGCGGGGGCCCUGGUGCUCGACUUCCUUGUAUUUGGGAAAGUGUGGUGGUGGGUGCGCGCUCGCGGCGGAGGGUAAACAUUCGACAGUCCCUGCUCAGAGAGGGAGGGACAGAGAGCGAACUGUCAGAUCCCGGCGAGAGCGGGCGGGCGAGCGAGGGAGAGGGAGUGAGAGAGAGAGAGAGGAGAGGGAGAGAGGGAGAGAGAGAGAGGGAGGGAGAGGGAAAGUGAGCGAGGGAGCGAGAGCGCGAACGAGGGCGCAGAGCGAGCUCCCGCUGCAACUCCGCUCCGGCUCGGCCAGCGCCAGCGCCGUCGGUGCACCCUGCGAGCCGUGCAACGUGCCCACUGGAGUGGGUUGUGUAUCAAGGAUCCCCUAUAUGCACACACACACCUCCACCUCCACCAAUGCACUCUUCUUCCUCCUCCUCCUCCAGACAACUGCUGGGAAAAAAAUAAAACACCAGCCCCAACCGCCAGCAACAAGAGGCAACCAAGAGCUCCGGCAAUAGCAACUUCAGAGAAAUGCACCAUCGCAAGAAGUUUUCCUAGGACAGAGCAAAACUUGAAACGCAAGGACCAGAGGAGGAGGAGAGCAGGAGCCAGCCUCUCCUCUCCGCACACGCGAGCAGCCGGCAUCACCACGCCUUCAAGGACGGCAAAAAGUUUUGCUACUCCGGAGGAAAACGAGAGAAAUGUGUUCCUGAGGAGGAGAGCAGCGAGCGGGCGAGGCGAGGAGCGCUCCGGCUGCUGGGCGCCCGCGGUCUGGUCGAGGAAGAAAGGAGCGGCCGCUUUCUUUGUUGUCUCCCGUGAAACCUCCGCUGAGCAGGUGGACUGAGCCCCGCGCCCGGGCCGAGGAUAGCGGGAGCCGCGGGAGCCGCGGGAGCCGCGGGAGCCGCGGGAGCCGGCGCGCCCCGCC